GAGUGGGGCUCGGGAGGAAAGGGCUUCGGGGCCCAGGCCGGAGAAGCCGCCUGCGCCUUCUUGGGCGCGGUGUGUGUGCGCGCGUGCUGCUUGAGUGCGUUCGCUCAACGCCCUCCCAGCUCGCUUCCCUGCCUUUCCCAUCCUGAGGGGGGAAGACGGCGCCCCCACACGCCGGCCCCCGCGGCUGCUAGGGCUGGCGGGUGAAACGUGGGCCGGGGUUCUGAGCAGGCCUUCCUUCUUGGGUAGAAAGACCUUUGGCUUUUGCUCCUUCCCUUGGUGUUUUUUGACGCGGAUGCGGAUAUGGUGCCUUGGGACAUAGCAGCCAUGUUGUGACUUGGCGCGAGGUCAGAGGCACACGUUGAGAACAGCAGGAUGGGGGAGAGAGCCUGGCUCCUUGAAGACCACCUCAUUUGAUCAUCGUUUGACUCCUCGCCACCCCGACCUCAGCACUAGCCGUUCCGCGCGCCCUGCAGUCGGCACUGGUCAGACCUGAUGCACGCCACCUUUCCCCCGGUCACAGUGUCUCAGUCCUGCCUGUCAGAAGUGACUGACUGUGGCUGUUAAAGCGUUAACUCCCGCCGGCUUAAGCUUGAGAAGAGGAUCGGCAGCGUUAUGGGGAGGCCUGCGUUUCGUCUGUCUCUCUGACCUGGACCAGGCCACAUCAGUUUCCUCAUCUGUAAAAUGGGGAUUAAACCGCAGGUUCCGUUAUGGGUCGACUUGAUGGGAAGGUCAUCGUCCUGACAGCUGCUGCUCAGGGGAUCGGCCGGGCCACUGCCAUAGCUUUUGCAAGAGAAGGUGCCAAAGUCAUAGCCACAGAUAUCAAUGAGUCCAAACUUCAAGAACUGGAAAAGUACCCGGGUAAGCAACUCAGCAGCUUGAACUUGGGAUUCAGAGUCCAUAAGGUAUUAUAAAAAACAGUACUCGUCUGCUGAAAGAAAAUUACUUGGCUGGUCAGCUCCACCGGCCUUCUUCUUAGAGCCUGAUUCUUUGAUAUCAAAUCUAUAUUCUGUGAACCUACAGACAAAAAUCUGUAUACUUAAAUAUAUAAAAGUUGUAUACUUAAAAUUUUUUUUAUCCAGCAUGUUGAAGGAUUCAGUACCUAAUUACAAAGUUGUAUGUGAAAUUUAACAGUUGUUGCGUUAACUUUUAAUGACAACUUUCACUUCUGUGCCCUACUCAGCACAGUGCUGUCCAGUAGGAAAAUGAUGUGAACCACGUGUGU